ACUGCUGCUAAUCUGCAACUCU
rnacentral:miRNA from 14 species